rnacentral:rRNA from 1 species
GAUGAACGCUGGCGGCGUGCCUAAUACAUGCAAGUCGAACGGACGGACGCGACGCUUGCUUCUCUGAUGUUAGCGGCGCACGGGUGAGUAACGCGUGGAUCCCCUACCUAUAAGUGGGGGAUCACUUCGGAAAACCGUAGCUAAUCCCGGAUAAUCUUUUGAACCGCAUUGGUCAUAGGUGAAAGACGGUCUUGCUGUCACUUCUAGCUGGAUACGCGCUGCAUUAGCUAGUUGGUAAGGUCACGGCUUACCACGGCAACGAUGCAUAGCCGACCUGAUAGAGGGGUAGGCCACAUGGGAACUGGGACGCCGUCCAGACGCCUACGGGAGGGAGCAGUAGGGAAUGGGCCGCAGUGGGGGAGAGCCUGGCGGAGUAGCGCGGCGUGAGUGGUGAAGACGCUCGGAGCGGAAAGCUCGGUUAUUAGUGAAGAACAUAUGUCGAAUGAGAUGAGCAGAGCGUGACGGUAACGAGUCAGAAAGCCACGGCUAACUACGUG